rnacentral:rRNA from 1 species
CAAUAGCGUAUAUUAAAGUUGUUGCAGUUAAAAAGCUCGUAGUUGGAUUUGUGGUUUACGCAAGGCUUCCGUCCCUCUUGGGUUUCGGUGUUGCCUGGCGUUGCCAUCCUUGGGUGGAAUCUGUGUGGCAUUAGGUUGUCGUGCAGGGGAUGCCCAUCGUUUACUGUGAAAAAUUAGAGUGUUCAAAGCAGGCUUAUGCCGUUGAAUAUGUUAGCAUGGAAUAAUAAUAUAGGACCUUGGUACUAUUUUGUUGGUUUGCGCACCGAGGUAAUGAUUAACAGGGUCAACUGGGGAUAUUCGUAUUCCGCUGUCAGAGGUGAAAUUCUUGGAUUUUUGGAAGACGAACUACUGCGAAAGCAUUUAUCAAGGAUGUUUUCAUUAAUCAAGAACGAAAGUUAGGGGAUCGAAGACGAUUAGAUACCAU